rnacentral:rRNA from 1 species
UACGUAGGGUGCAAGCGUUAUCCGGAAUUAUUGGGCGUAAAGAGCUCGUAGGCGGUUUGUCGCGUCUGCUGUGAAAACCGGAGGCUCAACCUCCGGCCUGCAGUGGGUACGGGCAGACUAGAGUGAUGUAGGGGAGACUGGAAUUCCUGGUGUAGCGGUGAAAUGCGCAGAUAUCAGGAGGAACACCGAUGGCGAAGGCAGGUCUCUGGGCAUUAACUGACGCUGAGGAGCGAAAGCAUGGGGAGCGAACAGG